AGCUCCAAUAGCGUAUAUUAAAGUUGUUGCGGUUAAAAAGCUCGUAGUUGGAUCUCGGCGGGCAGGGGGUGGUUCGCUCUUCAGCGCUACUGCCCCGCUUUGCCCGUGUGAUUGGCGGAGGUUUCGGGGUGCUCUUCGUUGAGUGACUCGGAGCGCCGUCAGGUUUACUUUGAAAAAAUUAGAGUGCUCAAAGCAGGCUUUUCACGCUUGAAUAUUCGUGCAUGGAAUAAUGGAAUAGGAACUCGUUUCUAUUUUGUUGGUUUUCGGAAAUCGAGUUAAUGAUUAACAGGGACAAUUGGGGGCAUUAGUAUUUGAAAGUGAGAGGUGAAAUUCUAUGAUCUUUCAAAGACAAACUAGCGCGAAAGCAUUUGCCAAGUAUGUUUUCA
rnacentral:rRNA from 1 species